AGAGACUACGUAUUGGAUUUUUUCAGUACAGUACAACCAAAUACAACAUGCGCUCAUUUUGUAGAAGGGGAUAACUUUUUGCUUUGCUGUAGAGUUUUGUCCAGUAGUAUAAAUUAAUUCAAGACCGGUUUUAAUGUCUCUCCUUGUUUGGUGAAGCGGGAAUGAUGACCACAGAGGAAUAAGUUUCUUCUUCUUCCAUUGAUAGACAAAUAUAACCAUCAAACUAACCAUGCAAGGCUUUCAUCAUAAAAGAUACAAGCUAGGUAAAGGAAAAGGAAGCUACACAGCACUACCUCCUAUCGGAAAUGAUGACAUAUCUAUGUCAUGCUAAUAUCUGCAGUUCGGCACCCUCGUCUCCAUCAGUUCUUAAUUCAUUGCAAUCAUUCAAAAGUGUACUGUUAUCGUCUGGACUGGUUGGACUACUUGUGCUAUUUUGUAGUUCAGUAUCACAGAAAAUAUCAUACCUUGCUUAAAAUGUAAUGUGCUUUCCAUUAUAUUAAUUGUUACUAUAUUUUAUAUAUUAUUUGAAGAACAAGUUUUUUAGUUACACUCUUCUAAAAAAAGUAAUAAAGAUGUUGAAGGAAACUGGAAAAUAACAUUACACAAUGAAAAAUGUUUUUUUUUUGCUUCGUUUAUUGAAAUCGUGUAUUAGUUGCCACUUGCUUAUCCAAAAAAUAGCAAAUAACGGAUUAGCAGAUUACACUUCCAAGUAAUCUGUUAACUAUGUAGUAUCAUCUUACAUACAUUACAACAUUUCAUAGUAAAUGAUUUAACUUUUAAUUUCCGUGCAAUUGACCUAAAUUUUAGUGAAUGCCUGUGAGGUUUGGGCUAUUAGCUCUCUAGUUUAAUUUUUAUUACGCUGUCCACUGCCUUGAAAUCAACAUUUAUUAAUUGAAAUUAUGUAAAUUUCAUGUGAAUUUAUAAAUACUGAACCUAAUAAUAACUGAAAAAAAAAUGGCAAACUUGUACUCAACAAUGAUUACAAAAUUAUAUAGCUCCAUGACUAGACACACUCCUACUGGAGAUUGAACCAAGAAGGGAAGAUUUUUUUUUUCCGGGGGGGUGGGGGUGUCCUAAGCUUUAUCACAUCAACACUUAGUGUGUACACGUCUUUGUAUACCAGACUCCAUCUUGUAGGUAUUAGUUUUGAUGAAUUGUUUCAGUUUCUUCAUAAUUUAAGAAUUUAAGUGUACAUAUAGGCCUAUUGUUUGCAUUAUUAAAUUAAAUUAAUGGUACCGAGUAAAUGAAAUUUAAAUUGUAGGACAUGGUUCAUGCCACAUCGUGUCUGACACCAUAAGUAGCACCAAAAGUGGAGAUGCAGAGUAUCCACACGUUAAAAUUUUGUGCAUCGCCCUUUAAAUUUUUUAGGCAAUGCAUUCUGAUUUAUUCAAAUCUUGGCGAGAGUGCUCCUACCAUUUUUUCCAUCUCAGCCACACCCAUUCUCUUUUAGCAGUGAAUUCGAAAUAGAAGGGAAGAACGUUCACAGAUAGACUGAAAUACAACCCUCACCCCCACCAAGGUUGGGGCUGAUUUAAGAAAUUCAUUUAGCAUGGCACCUCUAGAUGGUCGCAAAUAGCACUUAAAUUUUAAUACAAUUUUCUUUUCUUCCCCAUUUUAUUUUAUAAUUUUGAAAAAAGAAAACUCCUACUCUACCACUAGAAAUUUUCCCAGCACAAAAACAUCCACUCAUGCACUAAGAAGUUAAAACCAAAGCCAGCUCUAGAAAUUCCCCUACGAGGAGUCCAAUUCUGAAAAGGGCCUGCAUUACAGUACCUCAAAAAUCACCUCCCCCUCCCCCCUCACAUGGUUGGGGAUGAGGUAAGAAAAUUGACACCAGUCCUACAUUCCUUAAAAUGGUUUGAAAAAAUGGAAAAAAAAUUAGUUUUCAAUGCAGUGUUUUUAAACAUGCCCCAAGCCUGCUGGCACUGGAAACGGUUGUAUAUCGCAUCAUAUCAGUGACUCCACAAUUUACUGUAUUCCCUAUUGUUAGCCUCCCCACUCCACGUGUCAAAACUCUACACUACUAGAUACAGUGAGCUGCACUCAUAAAAAACAAGACUGUGUUGUAUUUCUACUAACAGAAAACUUUUUCUAAAAAUUGGCUGGAUUUACUUUUUAGCAAUUUUUCGCAGACUGGAUCAAAAUGUUGGCAAGCGGGCUGAUGAUUGAAUACUGGGGAUUUAGGAGUUUCAAGGGCUUAUUUAAUUUUAGAGUCUACUAACAUGUAAAAAAUACAUAGGGCUAAAUCAUUUUCUUUUCACCCUGACGAAUAGUGGUAGUGCUGCCACUGCCCCCAACACAGUUGCCAACUUUAAAAAAAAAAAAAAUUCUUUGAGAACUCGUGUUUCGGAGCAACGUCCCACUGGUUGGGAGCCAGGAAGCUCGCUCAACCUGGGCAUUUUAACUACUAAUUUGAUUGAUCUUGGACACUAAAUUAAGUAAAAAAUUAUGAUGUUAACUUAAUAAAUCAAAAGAGUUAUAAUACUUACUUAAAUUUGACCAAAGUAAACUUAGGAUGUAUGUUGCUUUGUACCUGACAGUUACUUGGUGAUAAAAAUGGGGAGAGUAUUCUUGCUUGCGGGAGUUGGGUAGGCCUUCCUGAUUUCCGAGAACCUAAGGACCCUGUUUGCUACACCAUAUGCUGUGGUUCAUUCAGCCCCUUUCUUUGUGGAAUGAUGUGAAUUAAGCACCUCUCUACGGCUGCUAUUCAGAACUGGAAGUUAGUGGCAUGUUGGUAUAGGCAGCCAGAAUGUUAAGAAGCAGUGGUGUUCAACUUCAGGAUGAGUAGUAAAAUUGAGAGAGGAUAGCAACAUAAAAAUACAGUUUGCUUGCUGUUUGCUAGUUGACUCAUUUGCAUAAUCCACCAGACCAUGGGCUGAUCACAGUGAUGUAAUCAUAAUGAAUAUUCAUUAAUUAGGAAACUGCUGAAGUGACACCACAGCAAGAGCAACUUCUAGAUAGCAUAUAUAUAUAUCUUUCAGCACAGCCUAAGUGAAUCUUGCAUGUUGUUGGAUAAUCUGAAUAGAGAGGAAGAAUUGUGUGGGGUACCACACACCAAACCACUGAUGAGAAAUGGUGCCGAACUGGUGUGGAGCAAUGGUGCAAGAUACCACACCACUGAUGAGAACUAAUGGUGCAUGAUACCUCACCACUGAUGAGGAGAAAUGGUGCCAAGCUACCACACCACUAUACCACAAAACUGAUGAGGACCAAUCGUGCAAGGUACCACACCACUGGUGAGGACCAUUGGUGCAAGUUACCACACCACUGGUGAGGACCAAUGGUGCAUGAUACCACACCAAUGAUGAUGAUAAGCAUUCGGUUUUCAGACAGCCCGAGUUGAGUCAUUGAAAUAGAAGUCUCAGAAUGUAAAUUGAAACAGAACAUUUGCGAGAAUCUGUAACCUAAACUUAUCAAAAAACACAAUGAAGAUUUUUAAAAUAUAAUCUAAUUACGUUAAUUCUUUGCUUUUUUCUGGCAUUAAACAGUAAUUGUAAACAAAUUCUGAUUCAAACCAUUAUCCCGAAGAGAAAGUAACAUUUUAAAGAUGUGUUGUCCCUUGCUAAUGUCAAAAAAACACAAAAAUAAAUUUUGAAAUCAACUUGUUCAUUUUGAAAAUUAUUAACUUGUGGAUUAUUUAAUUUAAAAAAUGUGUACCCUGAUUUUUAAACCAGAAGUAUAACAAAUUCUGAAUAGUAGGUAAUGUUCAAUUCAAUAGUCAUUGUAUGCUUGUUGUGUAUUUUUCAUUUCAGGGGAAUUUUAUUCUCUAUUAGUUAUUCUCUAGUAUAAGUACUGUAUAUCAUUAUUUUUGGAAAAUAUUUCAUUUUGUCAUUGAGACAAAAUUAAUUCAGAAUUCUUUAUUGUUAUAAAAUUGAUAGUUCCCUUAAAAUUCAUUUUGUGGCAAGAUUACAUUAAUUCAUUUGAAAUUAAGAAAUGUUUACUUAUAAACCUUGUGCUACAAUGUGUAAGAUUCUCCUCUAUUUUCCAUUUUCAUAUGUUGUUAAGAAAGUGUUAAAUUUCUUAUUCAAAAUGCAACAAAACUUGUGAUAUAAUUAUAUUUAUAACAUUGUGGUGCUUCUGAUAGGUAGAAUAUUUUCUUAUGCAUUGUAUAUUAUCUUUAAUUUUUGUUUACAUAAUGAAAUCAUUCGAUAUCAUUAAAAAAAAAAUCUUUUGUUUUGUUUUGGUACACAAGUGAAAACUGUUUAAACACUCUUGUAUUUGAAGAAAUAAGAGUCAUUUAUUGAUAUAAAAUAUAUAUUGUUUAUAAGUGCAGUAUAAUAUUAACUAUACUUUGGAAAAUGUCGGGAUUCAAUAUUUCGACAUUUGUUUGUUUGUUUCAUUUAUUUCUCCACACACAUGAACAUAUGACAGAAGCUUAAUAGUAAAACCAACUAAGAAUAAUAGUACAUUACAAAAUAAGUGUGGAAGGAGGCCAAAUUAAGUUUAGAAUAACACUUUAAGCCAUUUUUAUAUUUCUAUAAUAAUAUUACAUAUAUCACACACACAUAUAUAUGCAUACAAACACACGCACAAAUGCAUACAUAUGGUAGCAGCCAAUACUAAAUUCAAUCUAAACCAAUAAAUAAUUCAUGUUAAUUUUGUAAAAUUAAUUUAAUCUAAUUUGAAAAUCUAUUGUAUAAUAUUAACUAUACUUUGGAAAAUGAAACUAUUUACUCGUUUUCAAAAAUUUUAUUUUCAUAAUUACGUCAUGAUUUUACUACCGACAGACUCCAAGUAUUGAAAUGCACGCCAUCAUGUCGGGAUUUGUUUGGGAAUGUAAACUACAUUUUACUUGUAGCUUGAGUGAGAACUUUGCACGCUUGCUGUAUUCUUGUAUAAUCAUAGAUAAAGGGGUUGCAGAGAAGUGCAUGCAAUUCAAAUAAAUACAACACAAAAUUAAUUUGUAUUCUCUUUUCUUUAUUUGUUCCUUGUAUGAUGUUUAUAAUACACCCCUCAAUCAAAUGCACUAAAUAGACCCCCCCCCCAAAUCAAAUGGGGCACUGCUCACGUCGGAAUACGCUCUUUAUCAUCAGCAGCGCCCUCAUUUAAUGCAAUGGAGCUCACAGAUCUUGUUAAAAAAAAAUCGCAAUAACGUAAGAUAAAAAUUAAUUUAAAUUAAAAUGAGCUUUUCAGUCAGAUUGUUGUAGUGUACGUGUACAAAUAAGGUUUUUAUAAUGAGCUCUAUUCAGUAACACAAAUUUGGCAGUUCCUUAAAAAUUUUCUGUGCAUUGCAAGUAGGUUUUUUGAGGGAAGCGCCAUAUAUAAAAUUGUAUUAUUUGCAGAAGGUGCAGUUUUAUGAGUCUUUCAUGCAUUACGCCAAAUAUCUUACAAACACAAGAUAGCGUAACAUAUAGAAACGUCGAUUUGGCACAAAAAAGUAAUCAGUUUUGGGAGAGGGCGUGCUAGUCAUUGCCAUGGAUCUGAGAUAGAGUAUAAAUCGGACGCUUCUAAUUGUUACGCGUAAACGUCAAGUCGCGCGGCAUAUGUUAUGGUCAGAGUGGUCAAGGUUUAAAAGUUCCCAAUUUUGCAAGAGGGCGUCGUUCAUGCAUUAUUACAGAAUUUGCACGCUAUCUUGUGUUUAUGAGAUCUUUGAUUACGCUUACAAAUAGGUGAUAGCAUAUUUUUCUUUGAGUAAAUAACCAACCCACUUACCUCCAGUCUUCUUGUCUCUGUACCGGCAUACAGCAUAACACAGCAUAAAAUUUAUUAAUACAUAUACCAUAGGCCUAUCUACUUCAUCAGUCAAUCACGUACAGUAUUUGAAUUACUGUUAUUAAAAGAUAUUGUGUUCAUAAACAUUACGAAUACCUUGAUUACGUUAAAAUAAAUCUGAAAAGCAUCUCGGCUUCUUGCAUAUGGGUUCACAGUUCACACUAGAUGGCAUUACAGAGCAAUGACUUCAUUUUUUAUCAUUAUAUAAUAUAAAAUAUAUAUUUCAUUAUGGUUGAAUGUUGUUUAAGACACUAGUUUCUUGUAUCUUUCAGUCAACUCUUCUCUUC